AACGAACGCUGGCGGCAUGCCUAACACAUGCAAGUCGAACGAAGCCUUCGGGCUUAGUGGCGCACGGGUGCGUAACGCGUGGGAAUCUGCCCUUGGGUUCGGAAUAACAGUUAGAAAUGACUGCUAAUACCGGAUGAUGUCUUCGGACCAAAGAUUUAUCGCCCAAGGAUGAGCCCGCGUAGGAUUAGGUAGUUGGUGGGGUAAUGGCCCACCAAGCCGACGAUCCUUAGCUGGUCUGAGAGGAUGAUCAGCCACACUGGGACUGAGACACGGCCCAGACUCCUACGGGAGGCAGCAGUGGGGAAUAUUGGACAAUGGGCGAAAGCCUGAUCCAGCAAUGCCGCGUGAGUGAUGAAGGCCUUAGGGUUGUAAAGCUCUUUUACCAGGGAUGAUAAUGACAGUACCUGGAGAAUAAGCUCCGGCUAACUCCGUGCCAGCCGCCGCAGUAACAC
rnacentral:rRNA from 1 species